UACGUAGGGGGCAAGCGUUGUUCGGAAUUAUUGGGCGUAAAGGGCUCGUAGGCGGUCUGUUGCGUCAGGAGUGAAAAACUCGGGGCUUAACCCCCGAGCCUGCUUCUGAUACGGGCAGACUAGAGGUAUGCAGGGGAGAACGGAAUUCCCAGUGUAGAGGUGAAAAUUCGUAGAUAUUGGGAAGAACACCGGUGGCGAAGGCGGCCAUCUGGACCGCAACUGACGCUGAGGCGCGAAAAGCGUGGGGGAGCAAACAGGGAUUAAGAAACCCCAGUAACGU
rnacentral:rRNA from 1 species